CAUGCAAGAGUGCUGCAAGUGUAAACAAUUCAAACGCUUCCUAGUCAAAGAUAUCAGUUUAUAGUAUGGGGGGGUGAUAAGGGACAUAUAUAAGCCUAGGCAACCGUACCAGCUGACAUGAUACCAACGCCUUACUAAUGUCUGAAUGACGCCCACAUCGCGUGUUAAUGAGAUUCAUAAUUCACAUCAUUUAUAUUAAUUCAAUCUUAACCAUAAAUGUUAGAAACGUACUAUUUUUGACUGCAAGCAGACAUUCCGCAGUAGCCACCUUGAACUAUAGUGUAGCCUACGGCUUGUGUAUUUCCUGUUAUCGCUAAUGGCCUAGAGAAGAUGAUGCCCAAUCUAUAGAUAAUCUGUCUUUCCCUCAACACCUCAUGCUGCAGAAGCGAUUUGAGUGUCUGCCCCAGAUAGUUUCAUUAGAGACGAUGAUCCAAUUGAGGAUCAAGAUGUGAUGAACCAGAGCAACCAAUCAGCUUCACUGCAGGUGCUCAACCCACCACCCUCUCACUGUUCUCCCUCCACAAGUAACCACAUCCUCUUCUCCUGUUCAACUACUGUGCCACCCCACUAAAAAUGACUGUACAUAUACCCCUGUGCCCAUCUCAGUGUAACAUGAUCCAUCCAAGGCCUCAGCUGGAUGCCUGAAAUGUAAGCAAGAUGCUAUAGUGUGUGUGUGUGUGUGUGUGUGUGUGUGUGUGUGUGUGUGUGUGUGUGUGUGUGUAUAUGGAGUUCCAAGUAAAGACUUGAAGAUGGCAAAGGAAAUAGUGAUGAGAGUGAGAGCAUACAGUAUGGAAAUAAAGA
ensembl:lncRNA